rnacentral:rRNA from 1 species
GGUGGCGAUCAUACCAGCACUAAAGCAUCGGAUCCCACCAGAACUCCGAAGUUAAGCGUGCUUGGGCGAGUGUAUUUCUAGGAUGGGUGACCUCCUAGGUAUUUCUAAGCGUGCUUGGACUUC